UUGGCUCAUUUUCGGAGCAGCCCCCCUAGUGGUUGUUCUAGUAACUGCAGUAUGUGAUGCUUUAGCAGUGUUGGGUCUAACCUGAGAGCUGUCAUCUGUCGGCGGCCUGAAAAUAGACUUGCUGCCAUUUCCUGUGGCUGUGUGACAGUGUGCGAGGGGAGACAGCUCAAUAACAGUCAUUACAUUCUGAUAAAGGCGGUAAUUUCAUUGCAGGAGGCAGGAGCUCUGUGUGUGUGUGUGUGUGUGUGUGUGUGUGUGUGUGUGUGUGUGUGUGUGUUGGGCUCGCCCUCCAGGACUUCACCAUGCAGAUGUCCUGAUGUAAAGGCACGUUUUCACACUCAUGCCUCGCUCUCAGCGCGCUCAUUACAGCGAGACAUAUCAUGGUAACCUUUAGCUAGCCUGAGGACGUACCGCUCUUUCGCCGACUUUACAACAUAUUUUCAAAAACGGUAAAAUAAUCUAUCCUGAGAUCUCGUGGAGGGUUGGUGGUACGAUCCCGGCUCCCUUAAUCCACUUGCAGUCGUAUCCCUAGGCAGAACAUUGAAAUCUAAUUGCUCCCAGUGGCAUAGCUGGUGUGACUGAGUGUUAACUGGAUGAGUUGACACUGAUGGCCACUUAAUAUAGCAGCCUCUACCACCAGUGUAUAACCUCUGGCUAAAACGCUACAGGCAUAAAGCACGAGUGCCACACACAAACACAGAUGCAGAUAUAGAAUUGGGAUUUUAAUCGUAUUAAAGAUUUGAUGACGUAAGAAAAAAUUAGCAGGAAACUUCUAUUUUUGUGGCGUUACCAUUGACUGAACGGAGAGGUUUAAGUUCAAUUCAUCAGAAGUUUAUGCCCACAUCUCUUAAUAUAGCUGGUUUUGUGGAGACUGUGGUCUGAGCUCAUGACUCCUCCGAGGUUUAUUAUCCACCACAGCUCCACGGACUGGAACAAUCUCUGCAGCUUCUCAUUUGCUGAGGUUAUUUCUGAGGGUUUAUUUCUGCAGAAGUCCUCGUACUCCGCUGGCAUGUAUCCUGAUUGAGCGACAGUUUGUGCAUUUCAAUUUCAUCCUGACAGGAAAAAUAGCCACUUCUGGUGGCUGGGGGGGUUGUGACAGUUUUGAUAAAUCCUGAUCAUAACCUCUGUCCUCUGGGAAUUUGCAAAUGAGUCUGUCGUUGGAAGAGAGAGCAUUUCUUACCCCGUCCCCUCUGGUUGCUGCUCAACUCGCCAUUUCUGUUUUCAUUUUAUAGUCGGGCUGUGACCCGAUUAAAAACAUUCAUCAAACUAAUCAGAGGUUUGUGGUGAAUUAAUUGCAAUUAAUCGCAUUUUAAUUGCAUGUAAAUAUUUGAUCUGAGAACAGUGAGAAUCAUUACUUUUUAAAUGUUAAAUUUUUUUAAAGAUGAUACUUAACCAAGACCAACAGAUCAGCGUUUUUUUAUGCCAUAAUAGAGUCCAGCAAUUUCAGGAUGUUAAUUUUUCUGACGUGGACUUACUCAUCUUAGCUCUGAAUCCACUCAUCUGGUCGAGUGUGGGUCGCUGUACUCGGAGUCGGACUGGCAUUAGCUUCCACGCUAGCUGCAACAUGUUUAGCAUUCAGGUGAUACCGAAGGGGUUAAGGUUAGGGUUAAAGGAAUAUUCCGGCGAAAAAUUAAGUUAGGGUCAAACACACCGUAACACAGAGUUAGACACCCCGUCGAGGGGUGGAUGUUGCCGACUGCUUGCUUCUCUAGUUAUACCAACUUUAGUAAAGACCACAGGAUAGCAACACAGAGACGCUCAACCAAAACGCCACUCUAUAGCCACAAAUAAUGCUCAGAACAGCACCUAACUUCAUCAACAGGACAUAUACAAACAAGCGGCUGCUGGAAGAGAGUAGGUGAGUUGUGUUUAGUCUCUCUGCUAAAGAAUUUAGUCAAAGUUAAAAAGACGUUUGGUGUCUAGUACUAUGGCUGUGACCCUCUAUGUCCUGUUGAUGAAGUUAGGUGCUGUUCUGAGCAUUUUUUGUGGCUAUAGAGUGGUGUUUUAGUUGAGGGCGUGGCUCUCUGUAUUGCUAUCCUGCGGUCGUUACUAAAGUUGGUAUAACUAGAGAAGCAAGCGGUCGACAACAUUCAUCUGUUGAGGGGGGGUCUAACUCUGACCCUAAAUUCGCCGGAAUAUCCCUUUAAGGUUAGGGUUAGGGUCUGGGCUUCCAUCCAUCAAAAAGGCCCAUCCACGCCUGAGCCAAUCAAAGCACAUUUAUCCGCGACCUCGUUCAUUUUUCUAUGCGCAGGGUGGGACUGGAAUCACUGCUGCACUCACGCUCGGGGACGCUGGUAUAAGCGGUAAUUUGGGGUUACAUUCAAAAUAUAUUAUCUGAUUUAAUCCUCCUUCCUGUUUCUGUAGCUAACAAACUGGGCAAAAACAGCUUAUACUUUAAAAACUUUGAUAGGUUCUCCUGGAGCGCUCGCCAAAUUUGUUUCGGUGUUAUUCCACCUCUGCGUUCGUCUGCACCUAUACCCUUUGGAGAAUAAUCAGGCAGCCAAUCAGAACAGCAUCUAAUUAACAUAGUCUAAUAUAACAUAGUCUAAUCCCCGCCCACUCUGAUCACUACAAGCAUACUGAGAGUAGAAACUGAGAGGCUGCAGUCCAUUUUGCAUCAGUGAUUGCAUACGACCUUUGACCUCUGUGAUUAUCGUGUUGUUGGCUUUGAAAUUUUUGCGUGCAAAUAUCGGACAAUAGAGUUUUUACUGAUUAAACAUGGAUUUGUUUUGGUUUACUGUGGUUUGUAUGAGGGUUAGGAAGUUUGUCAGGUAGUGAUGAGACCAGCUGUUUUAAAUUACUGGGUUCAUGUUACUGUGAACCGAAUUGAUAAACAGCUCAAUUAAUCAAUAUAUCGGACAUUUCUGGUGUUCAUACCAUCUGUAAGCUUCUAACAAUGGACUCCUUGGGGAAUCUGACCGACGGAUAUUUGGACUCAGAAUAAAACAGAUAAUUUUAAAAUCAUCUUUACUUCUGGUUUCAGUUUAUGUCAGAUGUUUGAACAAAAGGAAACUAAAAAAAAACAUGAUCAGGCUCUGAAACAGAAGACGCACACUGACUUUGUUUGAAUCGUCCGUCUCAGUUUCAGAGGGAAACAAUCGAUCCCACCUCUGAGGGCCUUUUAUUACAUUAUUAGUCAAAGGUUCGAGUGGUUCCCUCCUCUGUUGUUCAAAGUUGUGUUAUUAAAUGCCUCUCACAUUCACCGCGGUCGUUCUCACCUUAUUCUGUUUCAACCAAAUGCUUCGUCAGUGCCGCAUCGUCUAAUUUAAUUUCCGUUUGUCCCCAUCGUCUCAGCUUUCCUUCACUCCUCUACAUCCUCACUGCCGUCCUUCCCUUUUCUUUUUUUUGUGCGUCUGGGUUUCUUGUCGGCACGCCGUGUUCUGAUCCACGGGGCUUUGAUCUUUGUCUGUCACCGCCGACAGACGGCGUGGCCAAUUUAAUUACUGGAACAAUCAGACGGAAAAUUACAGCAGGCGAGAGGUGGCUGCUGGAGAGGAGAUAGCUCACUUCCACAGAGGAAUCCGUGGACUGACUCGACCACCUGACUCGUUUCCUCUCGUGUUACAAUGAAAAUUAAACUCAUUGUAAUCCUGAAUCAUCCAAUUAUCCAAUCAUUACGAGCCCGUGCUACAUGCUCGCUCAUCCGCAAAUUAUAGCCUUUGUUUCAAAGUAUGCUCGCACAAAUGAUCCCGACAAAUAUCAUAAUCAGGGGUUUCAAAGAACAUGUAGGAUGUUUCUGGGGUCCUUCUUUAGGCUGCAAUUAUCACGAUUAUUUCAUUAUGUGCUGACAGAGGACCUUGUGUUUUCAGGAACACUCUGACACUCUCCUGUCGAUCUCUUGGAAGUGGCGUUUUUUUAGGUCUCACAUACGGGCCUUUUUCUGUCUCACCAACUACAGAUGUUAAACUCAGCAGUGUCAGUCAAGUGUCUCUUCUGUGUUUAUAACUAUUCAAUAAAAAAUACCCCACAUGAUAAUUACGAUAGAGUACCGUAAAAUUUCAAUCCGGACUAAAUUUCCUGUUUCAUUCAUCGGGGAAGUCUUCUAAAAUGGCAACUGGACUUCUUGGGUUAUCUGGAAGACAUUUUGCCUCUUCUCCAGAAGACGUCUUCAGUUCUAAGAGGGACUGGGUCUAGAGCUGAACUAUAUAGCCUAGGGAGAUAACAUCAGUGUAAUGGGGCGCUCACACCAAGCGCGAGUAAAAUCAUCUACCCGCCAAUUCAACCAGCGGGAUCAAGUGAUAGACAAAGUUUUUUUACAAUUUACCAGGUAAGCCUACCUCCUCAUUCACUUGCUCCUUUUUAUUCCGGUUUCGAUAACUGAAAGAAAAGGUAUCAUAUAAUUCCGGGCACCCGAUCAGUUUGUCCUCCAAUUUAGAUACCAGUGAACAACCGGCCGUUUUCAUACAUCAUCUGGCAACCUUCGUGCUGAUUAGUUAUCGCGACGCAAAUAUCUGCUCAAGUUGAGAUAUUUUCAGCUCCCGCGCAAUUUGCGUCUUCGCGAAUGAUUUUACUCGCGUUUGGUGUGAGGAGACAGUCAAGGUAAAUUUUAGUUUUUUCAAGUUUAGUCAAAAACUUUGAUUUCUGCUCUCGGGUCCUGCCUUUAAUUUUUCAUUCAAACCUGCCAACCGCUGAUUUUUUCCACUUAUAUCUAUUUUUAAAAAAAGGGUCAAACUGAUGAAACACUGACUAUGAACAACGACCUCAUACACUUCAGUCGAUCCCUCCCCUUUAAGGAUGUUGACUUAAACAAAACUCCAUCCUCUAUGAACCUGCUGUUUAUUAAAUGCCAGCGACUGAUCAUGCGUCCCCUGACAUUUCCACCGGCCUGUUCAAUAGUCAGAGCGUGCAGGUCGAGGCCGCGGCGGUGUCUUCUUUCACGUGAAGAGGCUUCGGUGGCACCAAAAGAAAGGAUUGUGGAUUUACAGCCUUGGUUCUCGGAGAGGUCAACCUUUACCUGGGUCUGAACACGGCUCAGGAGGGAAGGGGUUCAUGUUUAUGAGUAUGAAGUCUGAAAAUAACAAAAUACUUAAACCAUGGCUUGGUUGAGCCUCACAGAGGUCACUGUGGGUGGUCUGGUUCAGGGUCAGGGGCCCUGAUAUGUGGAUUUAACAUCCUGUCUAUAGGUCAAAAACAGCCGUGAUACGCUCCUUCAUUUUAAAAGCAAGGCUGCAGCCGCUUCCUGAAACCGAUUCAGACCAGUUUGGACCAGCUGUGAUGGUUUCACUUCCCAUUUUAAAGCCCCAGAGUCCUUGAUAGUGAUGGUGAGGGAUGAGGACUGCAUCAAUCUAACAGUGAGGACAGUACAGACAGCUGUGCCUGUAUUGACGUGAAGGAGGAAGGGGACAUCAAUCGAGCGGUCGCGGGCUGAACGGGGCCAUUCAUCUCUGGGGGGCCAAGGGCGCAGCUCCUGUUAGACCUUUGGUCACUGGUUCCUAUGGCAACCAUAACUGAAAUAAAUAUGUGCUACAGUGCAUUUAACAUUAGAGACCCCUCGCCCCUGCUCCUGAACCUGAACUCACACGCUCAGCUGGACUAGGAGUCAGGUGUGCGGUUGGUAUUCGGCGUGCGUGGCGAGGCGUCGCUGACUUCAGCUCAUUACGGAGGGAAAUGAGACCCGGCCCUCACCCAUCAUUACUGUAAUUGGUUAAACUGCAGCUACAUGUAUAUCUACCCACCUGCUGCUUAUUCAGCAACGACAAAAUCCCCCGGAGAAAAAAAAAAGCGGAAAACUCUUAUUGUGAAGUAAAUGACAGGCGAGUUUUCUCCAGGGAGGAGAAGAUAAGCACUCUAUAUUUAUAUUUCUAUAUUCCUCCUACAGUGACAGACUCAGACAUACUGGCAAUUUGUGCACCAGUUACUAACGCUGCAGGCUAAAAGGAUGAUAUUGUCAGAUUUUUGUGGAACUUAAAGUGACGUGAAGCACAAUAACCCUGAAAACGGGAAAAACUGAAAUGCAGAAAGCGUUAAAAACUGUCCCAGACGAGGGGAGAAGAUGUCAGCCUUUCUACGUCAUGACCUUUGGCUACGAUUGAUUGUAACUAAAAUUGUUUGAUUCUGAAGCGCUGAAUACUGGAUUAAAUAAAAAGAAUAAAGUUGAAUUUUAUCAGCUGAAGCAUUUUGAACUGACUGGAUAGAAACUGUGCUGUUCAGAGUUUGAACUUUUAAGAGUGAUUCUUGUUGAAACCUUCAUUUUUCAUGAAUCCAUCUGUGGUGCAUUUGUCACAUACCAACAGGAGACUUACUUACAUUAGACCACACAUUUCUGAGCGAUAUUUAAACUUCACUCAGCAACAACUCUGAAGAAACAGGAUCCAUAAGGAGGACUCCUGUGUUUUCCAGCACAGCAGCUGACUGUUGUCUUUUAACUGUCCAUCCGUCUUCUAUGACUUAUCCAGAGACGGGUCGAGGGGGCAGCAGCCGAAGCAGGAAGCCCCACUUUCUCUAGCGUGUCCUGGGUGUUUCCCCUGGUCUCCUACCGGUGGGACAAGCCCUGAACACCUCACCAGCCAGGCAUCCGGGAGGCAUCCUGGUCAGCUGCUCAAGCCACCUCAUCUGACUCUCGACACAAAGGAGCAGCAGCUCGACUCUGAGUUCCCCUGGAGGACUGAGCUUCUCACUCUAUCUCUGAUGGAGAGCCACUCUGUGGAGGAAACUCAUUUCGGCGGCUUGUACCCGAGAUCUUGUUCUUAUGGUCACUAUCCAAAGCCCCUGACCGUAGGUGAGGGUAGGAAAGUAGAUCAAUCGGUAUAUCCAGAGAUUUACCUUUUGGCUCAGCUCCUUCUUCACCACGACAGACCUGAGCAGCUGCACCAAUCCACCUGUAGAUCUUCUGCUCCAUUCUUUCCUCAUUCGUGAACAAAACCCAGAGAUACUUGGACUCUUCUACCUGGGGCAGGAUCUCACCCCUGACCCAAAGAGGCCACUCCACCUUUAUCCAGCGAUGUGGAGGUGCUCAUUCUCAUCCCAGUCAUUUCACUCUCGGUUGCGAACCGAAGGUCAUGGCCUGGUGCCACCAACAGGACCACAUCAUCUGCAAAAAGCAGUGACCCAGUCCUGAGACCACCAAAGAGGACCUCCUCAACACCCUUGCUGAACCCAGAAAUUCUGUCCAUGAAAGUUCUGAGGAGGAUCGGUGACAAAGAUCAGCCCUAGUGGAGUCCAACCCUCACCGAAACAAGUCCGACUUACUACUGGAUCUGUAGACCAAGCUCUGGUUCUGAAGGUCUCUUAACUGACCUCCCUUAAGUUACAUUGGAAGAGUUUUUAAAGUAUUUUCUAGCUGACCAUGCCUCCUUCACAUGCUGACACAAUGAUUGAUAAAAACGAGUUGAACAGAUCUCCUUUAGGAUCUUUACUACAGCGACCCAUUGAAAUGGUUCGAUGUCCCACUUCUGGGCCUCAGCCCUGCAGGUGAGAACUCAUAAAUUAAGACCUGAUCCUUUAGUCUGAAGUGUAGUCCACAAAUACAACUUGUAGCUGCCUCAAAGAUGUUAAAUCAAGCAGCUCGAUCUCUAAUUUUGUGCGUUUUACACACAUGAAAAACACUUCUCCUCCCACUUGUAGGGCCUCUUUUCAGCCAUUGUGAAAAGCGAAGAAGCAUCUGUAGUGUUCUCACCCCUCCUCUGG
rnacentral:lncRNA from 1 species